rnacentral:rRNA from 1 species
GGGUUGUGAGGUUAAGCGACUAAGCGUACACGGUGGAUGCCCUGGCAGUCAGAGGCGAUGAAGGACGUGCUAAUCUGCGAUAAGCGUCGGUAAGGUGAUAUGAACCGUUAUAACCGGCGAUUUCCGAAUGGGGAAACCCAGUGUGUUUCGACACACUAUCAUUAACUGAAUCCAUAGGUUAAUGAGGCGAACCGGGGGAACUGAAACAUCUAAGUACCCCGAGGAAAAGAAAUCAACCGAGAUUCCCCCAGUAGCGGCGAGCGAACGGGGAGCAGCCCAGAGCCUGAAUCAGUGUGUGUGUUAGUGGAAGCGUCUGGAAAGGCGCGCGAUACAGGGUGACAGCCCCGUACACAAAAAUGCACAUGCUGUGAGCUCGAUGAGUAGGGCGGGACACGUGGUAUCCUGUCUGAAUAUGGGGGGACCAUCCUCCAAGGCUAAAUACUCCUGACUGACCGAUAGUGAACCAGUACCGUGAGGGAAAGGCGAAAAGAACCCCGGCGAGGGGAGUGAAAAAGAACCUGAAACCGUGUACGUACAAGCAGUGGGAGCACGCUUAGGCGUGUGACUGCGUACCUUUUGUAUAAUGGGUCAGCGACUUAUAUUCUGUAGCAAGGUUAACCGAAUAGGGGAGCCGAAGGGAAACCGAGUCUUAACUGGGCGUUAAGUUGCAGGGUAUAGACCCGAAACCCGGUGAUCUAGCCAUGGGCAGGUUGAAGGUUGGGUAACACUAACUGGAGGACCGAACCGACUAAUGUUGAAAAAUUAGCGGAUGACUUGUGGCUGGGGGUGAAAGGCCAAUCAAACCGGGAGAUAGCUGGUUCUCCCCGAAAGCUAUUUAGGUAGCGCCUCGUGAAUUCAUCUCCGGGGGUAGAGCACUGUUUCGGCAAGGGGGUCAUCCCGACUUACCAACCCGAUGCAAACUGCGAAUACCGGAGAAUGUUAUCACGGGAGACACACGGCGGGUGCUAACGUCCGUCGUGAAGAGGGAAACAACCCAGACCGCCAGCUAAGGUCCCAAAGUCAUGGUUAAGUGGGAAACGAUGUGGGAAGGCCCAGACAGCCAGGAUGUUGGCUUAGAAGCAGCCAUCAUUUAAAGAAAGCGUAAUAGCUCACUGGUCGAGUCGGCCUGCGCGGAAGAUGUAACGGGGCUAAACCAUGCACCGAAGCUGCGGCAGCGACGCNNNNNNNNNNNNNNNNNNNNNNNNNNNNNNNNNNNNNNCGAAGGUGUGCUGUGAGGCAUGCUGGAGGUAUCAGAAGUGCGAAUGCUGACAUAAGUAACGAUAAAGCGGGUGAAAAGCCCGCUCGCCGGAAGACCAAGGGUUCCUGUCCAACGUUAAUCGGGGCAGGGUGAGUCGACCCCUAAGGCGAGGCCGAAAGGCGUAGUCGAUGGGAAACAGGUUAAUAUUCCUGUACUUGGUGUUACUGCGAAGGGGGGACGGAGAAGGCUAUGUUGGCCGGGCGACGGUUGUCCCGGUUUAAGCGUGUAGGCUGGUUUUCCAGGCAAAUCCGGAAAAUCAAGGCUGAGGCGUGAUGACGAGGCACUACGGUGCUGAAGCAACAAAUGCCCUGCUUCCAGGAAAAGCCUCUAAGCAUCAGGUAACAUCAAAUCGUACCCCAAACCGACACAGGUGGUCAGGUAGAGAAUACCAAGGCGCUUGAGAGAACUCGGGUGAAGGAACUAGGCAAAAUGGUGCCGUAACUUCGGGAGAAGGCACGCUGAUAUGUAGGUGAAGUCCCUCGCGGAUGGAGCUGAAAUCAGUCGAAGAUACCAGCUGGCUGCAACUGUUUAUUAAAAACACAGCACUGUGCAAACACGAAAGUGGACGUAUACGGUGUGACGCCUGCCCGGUGCCGGAAGGUUAAUUGAUGGGGUUAGCCGCAAGGCGAAGCUCUUGAUCGAAGCCCCGGUAAACGGCGGCCGUAACUAUAACGGUCCUAAGGUAGCGAAAUUCCUUGUCGGGUAAGUUCCGACCUGCACGAAUGGCGUAAUGAUGGCCAGGCUGUCUCCACCCGAGACUCAGUGAAAUUGAACUCGCUGUGAAGAUGCAGUGUACCCGCGGCAAGACGGAAAGACCCCGUGAACCUUUACUAUAGCUUGACACUGAACAUUGAGCCUUGAUGUGUAGGAUAGGUGGGAGGCUUUGAAGUGUGGACGCCAGUCUGCAUGGAGCCGACCUUGAAAUACCACCCUUUAAUGUUUGAUGUUCUAACGUUGACCCGUAAUCCGGGUUGCGGACAGUGUCUGGUGGGUAGUUUGACUGGGGCGGUCUCCUCCUAAAGAGUAACGGAGGAGCACGAAGGUUGGCUAAUCCUGGUCGGACAUCAGGAGGUUAGUGCAAUGGCAUAAGCCAGCUUGACUGCGAGCGUGACGGCGCGAGCAGGUGCGAAAGCAGGUCAUAGUGAUCCGGUGGUUCUGAAUGGAAGGGCCAUCGCUCAACGGAUAAAAGGUACUCCGGGGAUAACAGGCUGAUACCGCCCAAGAGUUCAUAUCGACGGCGGUGUUUGGCACCUCGAUGUCGGCUCAUCACAUCCUGGGGCUGAAGUAGGUCCCAAGGGUAUGGCUGUUCGCCAUUUAAAGUGGUACGCGAGCUGGGUUUAGAACGUCGUGAGACAGUUCGGUCCCUAUCUGCCGUGGGCGCUGGAGAACUGAGGGGGGCUGCUCCUAGUACGAGAGGACCGGAGUGGACGCAUCACUGGUGUUCGGGUUGUCAUGCCAAUGGCACUGCCCGGUAGCUAAAUGCGGAAGAGAUAAGUGCUGAAAGCAUCUAAGCACGAAACUUGCCCCGAGAUGAGUUCUCCCUGAC